CCUUGGAAGUGGAGUUACAGGUGGUUGUGAGCCACCAUGUGGAUGCAGGGAAUUGAACCAGGGUCUUCUGCAAGAGCAACAAGUGCUCUUAGCCUCUGCGUCAUCUCUCCAGCUCC
ensembl:miRNA predicted gene, 27387